rnacentral:rRNA from 1 species
AUUGAACGCUGGCGGCAGGCCUAACACAUGCAAGUCGAACGAGUGGCGGACGGGUGAGUAAUGUCUGGGAAACUGCCUGAUGGAGGGGGAUAACUACUGGAAACGGUAGCUAAUACCGCAUACCAUCAGAUGUGCCCAGAUGGGAUUAGCUUGUUGGUGGGGUAACGGCUCACCAAGGCGACGAUCCCUAGCUGGUCUGAGAGGAUGACCAGCCACACUUGAACUGAAACACGUUCCAGACUCCGAUGGGAGGCAGCAGUGGGGAAUAAUGCACAAUGGGCACAAGCCUGAUGCCGCCAUGCCGCGUGAAUGAAGAAGGCCUUCGGGAUGUAAAGUUCUGUAUUCGGGGAGGCGUUGCCCGCAGAAGAGGCCCCGGCUAACUCCGGGCCAGCAGCCGCGGUAAUAC